GGCUUCAUAGCUCAGUGGUUUAGAGCAUUCGAUUGCAGCGUGGCUGCGACGUGAUAUCGAAGGGUCCCGUGUUCGAGUCACGGUGAGGCCU